rnacentral:misc_RNA from 1 species
AUUACGAACUGCCAAGCUUGCAGUAAUUUCACCAGAAAGAAGUGUCCACAGAAUAAAAUUGUUAAAAUUUCGUUCCUUAGUCUUGGAUUAUGGAUCUCGUCAAAAGCUCUGCAGACCAGAGAGUGCCAUGCUACACAGGAUCAUUAGCGUUGAAUACCCGGAACGUCUUAAUUUUGAAAUCGUCGUCGUUUGUGCCUCUUACCAGCAAUGAAAUCCUGAAAACAUACCUCAGCAUUUGCAGGAUCGUCUCUUCCACUCCGCCACCCCAGCGAUUGAUAUAUUCUUUGCCAUCGUGCCUGCCGAUGGAUCCUGCGCCACUACGCGCACCGGAUGUGUGCCGGCCGUGAUGCAGCAGAGAGAGAGAGGAGAGUUAAAGAGGAAAAAAAAAGGGCGUUGCGCUCACGGCUUGCCCCUUCAGUCGCUUCUCGUCAUCCGAUCUCUUUGGUGAACUGUUUUUGCUGUUGUUGUUGUUGUUAUUCUCGCUCUUGCCUAACCCCAGUUCUGUUUGAGUGUCUGUGCGCUUGAUUCGGUUCACAGAGUCACAGAGAGCAAAGCUGACAUUGAUUCCGUCAUGGAUGCUGUCUGCUCGCAAGCCGUCAACGAUACCCUCAACGCUAUCAGAAGCGGAGUGUUGAUGGCCAACGGGACGGAUGAUAUGGCGGAUGAAUAUUCUAUACUGGAGAAUGUGCUAGGAGCGAAUUGCACCGAUUGGUGGCUAUCCAGCAUUAACCGGACGUCGAUGGAUUUCCUAGGCGACGAUACGGGCGGCACGAAUUCGUCGUUUUCGGACAAAGAAGAGAAUCCGUCGUAUUUUUCAAGAGACUAUCGCCUUGUCGGCACGUUAUUUCAGGGAUUAAUUCUACUCGUAGGCGUCCUCGGAAAUCUACUCGUUGUCAUGGUCGUCUAUCGAACGCGUUCGAUGCAUUCACCAACCAAUUGCUACCUGGUUAGUUUGGCUGCCGCCGACUGCGUCGUCCUCAUCGCAUCCGUCCCCAACGAAAUUCUCUCGUAUUACGUCAUCGGCAGCCAAUGGAUUUGGGGACCCAUCGGCUGCGCCGUCUUCGUUUUCCUUCAGAAUUUAGGAAUCAACGCGUCGUCGCUGAGUUUGACGGCGUUCACGGUCGAGCGCUACAUCGCCAUCUGCCAUCCGAUGAAGGCGCAAAGCGUUUGCACGGUGAAACGGGCCAAAAAGAUAGUGGGCGGUGUUUGGGCGUUUGCAUUCUGCUAUUCGUCACCUUGGCUGGGCCUCACCAUCACCGAGCCAAUCCAUUACAAAGGAUUUCAAACGGUCGAGCGUUGCGCCAUGAAACUAUCGCGGGAAGAAUACCUGGGUUAUUUCUUUGCCGACAUUGUGGUGUUCUAUUUGGUGCCGUUGCUCAUUUCGUGCGUCCUCUACGGCCUCAUCGCGCGCGUCUUGUUCAACGGCCACUUUAACAAAUACCCAGAGGUCUGCCGGCACGAUAAUCAAUCGUCGGUCGAUCCGACUAAGAGCUCCAGGGUUCAGGUUGUGAAGAUGCUGGUUGUGGUCGUGGUCAUCUUCGCUACGUUAUGGCUGCCCUAUCGUGGCAUGUUGGUGUACAACAGUUUUGCCACCAUGCACUCGAAACCCAGUUUUAUGGACCUCUGGUUCCUCAUGUUUGCCAAAACGUGCGUCUACAUCAACAGUGCCAUCAAUCCCAUCUUGUAUACGGCAAUGUCCAUCAAAUUUCGUCGAGCUUUUCAGCGCAUUCUACUUUGCGGGGAUUGAGCAGAAGAAAAGAAAAAAAGGUUAGCCUUAAUUUAGCAUCAGCUGCGACGUAAUUACAUGAUUUUUCUGCCGACACCCGCAUGCAUCUGUCAUUUAACGCCGCGUGAAAUGCCAAACCUGACGUAACUCUAGCGCACGUAAAGCGUGCAAAAGAAGAACCGGCAUAAAUAAAUACUGUAAAUAUAUUGACCAAGAAAGCUGUUCGUUUUUAUGGAGCCCAAGUGACGUGGGUUGUUCGGCGCGCUUCGCUACACUUUCUGCGGUGAAAACGUAUAGAUACGAGAACGUAUGGAUGUUUUUAAAAAAAUGUUUUUCACCUUUGGCUCGUUUAAUUGCACCUCACAACCCAACUUGCCGGUAACGCGAGUAAUGUUUCCAAACAGCAAAAUUCUCCCUUAAUUAACAUUACAACCCCCUUUUGCUAUUGAAUUCGCAGUUACCGUUGCGUGUGUGAAUACGUUGUACAAAUUGCCCAGCCUCGUAAACACUAGCAGUUUGCGUAGAUUAUAUUCCCCACCCACUAUUUACUUAGGAAGGGAUGUAGUACGUACUAUGAAACUAUUGAAGAGUUCGCUAUUGUUGCGAUUGAAGUGCGUCUAUUUACUCGAGUCCCGGAACACGGUCGUGCAGUUUCCUCUGUCCUCAAGCCCCAGAAAAAAACAACCUCCUUUUGCAAACGGAUAUGAUGUCGCCUGGGCUUUUCCUCUUUUUUUUUUGUACGUCUCUUUUCAUACGUUCAAGAGUCGUACGUUGAAUGACAAGUCAACAAAACUCUUGUCUUUUUCUUUUUGUUCGUUUACUGGGCAACGUUACCAAACCAAGUACAAAACUAUUUUCGUUAACAAUAUAUAUAUAAAAAGUCGAGGACAUACUAGUCUUCCGUCGGGAACGGGAGGCUAUUCAAGUCACUUUGAGAUUGUGUACAAGGGAAUACUUCAGUUGCGAUCGAUUUUGAUACUGGACAUUACCUGGGCUUUCUUCUUUUGGUCAACGUUGCACACGUGCGGAAAAUGCUUGUCCACUAGAAGAUAAAACCCCGUGCUCCCUUGCCGUGCAAAGUUUGUGAACGCGUAUACCGUAACGUAAUAGAGAGAAAAGAAAUAACUGAAGAAUCGCUACUUAAUAUAAAGAGAUUAGUGUACUAUAAGGCGAUUGGGGAUGUUGGGCAAAUAGUUCUGUCUCGUUCUGAUUUAGUUUUACUCGUUUGAGUUUGUACUCGUUGGACGGGAGCUGAAGCAACUUCAGUGGUGUUGUACGCUAGAUGACUCGCAUUAGUAUAUUUAUAGCGUUCGUUUUUAAAAGGAACACCUUUUUCUUGUGGGGGGAAGGAUUAUUUUCUUUAAAGAGGGGGGAAAUAUAUAAUAAAAUGCAGUGUAUAUCUUUAAUAUGUAAGAAGAUCCGUCGUCUGUCUCACCGUUCACGCAAGAGUUGUUCGCUGUAUACGGCAGCUUUAAUGGCCUUUUCUUUUUUUUUUUUUCUCCCGGUACCGAAAUAAAAAUGGCAGAUGUUCUUCUGCACCUAUUUAUACCGACCAAAAUAGAAAGGAAUAAAAGCACAUGCCUGUCGGUAGUUAAAAACAAAAAAAAAGAGAGAAAUGCUGUUGACUGGCAUGCACGACCGUAAAAAAAUGAAAACCCAGUUGGACUUGCCGUGUCACAGCUGGCGCAUUUUCAAACUGAGCCGUCGGCAACGACAUUAUUUUGGCAAAUGCGAUGCCAGUCAUACGAUUCUCUUGUGUCAUCUAAAUGAAUCUAUUGGCCUAUCGCUAAAGAAUCGCUUUGUUUUGUGUGCGUGUGUGUGUGUGGAUCAAAGACAAUAUCCGACGAACUGGAGAGAGAUGAAGACAAAAGGGGAGCAGAUUUAAUAAAUCGAUUGGCAACAGAUUCAUCGAUGCGCUUCAUUAGAGCUCGUCAACACACGACCGACGUUGUCCUAGGAUAUCGUUCUGACGCAGCUCACUCAAUCAGCAGAGAUCACCUGGAACUCAAAUGCGUCAUUUAGGUCACUUGGCCUAAAAGAAGAAGAAGAAAUCCAAGCUAAUGUUUUUUUUAUGUUCAUGGUGGAUGCAUCUCCCAGGUUCCUCUUUUUUUGUCUGGAUCGCUCUGGUCACAUGACAUCCUUCAGCCCGUGAUGUUUUACGUAAGUAUUCACCUGAAAAAGAAAGAAAAAGAUUAUAUGCAGUCCUCUUAUGUAACUUAACACGCACAACAGCAGUCGCUAUGAGUGUGUGUGUGUGUGUGUGUGUGUGUGUAAAGAGCCACCGCAUAGCUCUAUCGAGAAACUGUAUGUAAUGAAUCCUUGUCGGGAUAGUUGAAUGUUUUGUACUUCCAAAUGUGUCGCCCCUCCCCAUCUAGUCUUUUCUCAGACAUUCUCUUCCGAUUGGUAGCAUUACUUCAACCACCCUUGCCCAAUGUACACUAUGUAUCAUUAUUUACGAUCAAUUAAACUAUAUUACCUAA